ACACCGUGGACCCGAGCGCGGGGCGACGUAGCAGUGGCGGCGGGCUGAGGAGGCUUGCGGGGGGAGCGGCGGCAGAGUAGAAACAUUUUUAAACUAGAUGAUAAUGAGCUUGAAUGGAAACUAAAUGUCUGUUUUAUUGGUGUGCUCCAGCCUUGGCAUUUUCCCUAUUACCUGGAUGAAGAAAAGAUGAACAUAUAAGGUGCCUGCCACACUAGCAGAUGUUGUUUAAAAUUGUUCAAGCAAUUUUACUGCCUAAAGGAGUCAUAAAACAAAGCCACGUAAUGUACAAAAAGAAACGAUGAGAUAAUCACCAAAGCAAGAAACUCAAAGAAACAGCUUAGGGCGGAAAGUGGAAUGUCCCCCAAGAACUAAGUAGCAGAAUAUCCUUGAAGAUUUUAACUUCCAUACUUUCCCAUCAUUUGGGUUUAGCUGAACUAAGGGCAACUGCCCCCAGAGCAAUCAUUUUUCGCUGUGCUUCAAUUUUCUUAUCUACAUCAAAGGCUUUA